CUGCUUGUUAGCUCUGGAGGAGUGACGGGAGGCGGAACUCCGUCCGAUCUCAGUCGCUACUCCGGGCGAACGGGAGCCGAAUCAGCGCCGCAGCAGCCGGACGGACCGGCUGAAGGUCUCUCCAUCUGCACCCCCAGCUCUCAGCUGCUGCCCGGGACCGCUCCCCGCGGGGUCUGGCGGAGCUUCGGCCCGAAAUGAUGUUGUUCUCUCGGAAGAAGAAGCAGACUGAAGAGGCGCGGAAACGGCUGGAAUAUCAGAUGUGCCUGGCCCGAGAAGCAGGUGCAGAUGAUAUCCUGGACAUAUCGAAGUGUGAGCUAUCUGAGAUUCCAGUCAGUGUCUUUUCCAUGUGUAGAGUCUUACAGAAGAAGGUUUUAAUCAUUCACACCAAUCACUUGUCAACACUGUUGCCAAAGUCAUGUAACAUCCAGGAUCUGUCGAUGCUGAAGAUUCUGGAUCUCCAUGACAACCAUCUCACCUUGCUCCCUGAGGACAUGGGUCAGCUCGUAUCCCUGCAGGUGCUCAAUGUGGAACAAAACCAUUUGAAAUUUCUCCCCAACUCUCUCUCAACCUUGGCCCAGCUUCAGACACUGAAUCUAAAAGGGAACCGGAUCCGGAAAGUGCCAGAAUCCCUGAAUGGACUGAGGAGCCUGCGGACAUUCGACAUUAGUCAGAAUCGAAUUCAGAUUCUCCCACAGGACCUGGCUCAUAUCCGGACACUGGAGUCCCUCAGUCUGGAUGCAGAAGCUAUGACGUAUCCUCCAGCCAGUGUGUGCAGCAACGGAACAGAAGCCAUCAAACAGUUUCUGUGCAAAGAGCUUGGAAUCAACUAUGUGCCUCCCUCUCAAUACCUGCUGUCGGUUCUGGAGAGUGACGGCAAUAUACUAGAGAAUGAUGGGGUGGAUGGCAUGUUCCGACAACAGAUGCAGGAGGCAGAGCAGUGGCAGAGCAAAUUCAUGGACUACGAAAAGAGGAAGGAACAGAAGCAGCAGGAGAAGCUGGAUUUUGAACGGCGGCUAAACGAGGAGCAGCGGGAGAGGACACAGCUCAUCAUGCAGAGCAACAGUCAAAAGGAGCAAGUCCUGAUGUCGGUGAAGCAGGAGCAAGGGAAGCUGGAUCAGGGUCUCCGUGACCAGCAGCGCUAUUUGGAGGUAGAGCGUCAGCGGCUACAGGAGGAGCUGAAACAAGGAGAGCGUGGAGCCACAAACCUUAUCCACAAUCUGCUGGAGGACAGUGAGAGAAGAAAGCAGAACUCAAUGCUGCUAGAAUCACUGGAAAAAGAAAGACUGAGGAUGGAUCAGCUGAUGGCAAUUUCACAGGAAGAGAACGAGAGGCUACGAAAGAGAGAGGUGGCAGCUGCAAUGCAGGAGAUGCUGUCCGAAAGCUCAAUGAACAAGAUCCUGCAGAUGGUCUAUGAGACAAGGCGACGCCAGUUGGUGGACGAGGCCAGCUCCAGCAUGGCUGAAAUGGAUGGUAAACUUCAGCAGGUCCAGGCCUGGCAGCAACUGGAUCAGAGCAAGACCAUUGGGCAGAUUCUGUCUGAGGCAGAGAUGCAGAAGGUGGCAUUUGAGGCGCUUCAGGUGAAGAAGGACAGUAAGCAUACACGCAUCAGAGACCAGAUCAAAUUGAUUGAGAAUGAGUUAAUGCAACUGACACAGAUCGAGUUAGACAGAAGAGAGAUUGACACAGAGAAUCUUCAGGGAACACUGAUGGAAGAGCGACAAGCACUGAGUGAUCUCCUGCAGCAGCUACUGAAAGAGAAGAAACAGCGAGAGAAGGAGCUUCGGGACCUGCUGGCGGAAAUGGAAACUAAACACGAGACCAAUCAGGAGAAUUACUGGCUGAUUCAGUAUCAGCGUCUGAUGGAUCAGAAACCUUUGUCUCUCCGAGCACGGGAGGAAGGUGUGGAGAAGGCCCUGGUGGAUCUGUUAGCUGAGCUCUCGGCAGAUCAGUACCUGCCCCUUUUUGCCCACCAUCGGGUCACCCUAAAGAUGCUUUGUUACAUGACUGUAGAGGAUCUCCAACAGAUUGGAGUCAAGGAGAGCAGAUUACAACGGGCUAUACUCCGCCGUGUCCAAGAGGGUCUGCCUAGGGAAGAUCGGAGAUUCGUCCCAGUGAAAGAAGCUGCUGCUGACCUGGGUGAGGUCCAGCCCAGUGCUCCUGUGGAGAGUGAAGCAGGACCCUCUAGUCCAAGUGCGCCUGUCCCUGAGGAGGUCCUGGCUCAGUCAGAAUGUGUUGUCUGUAUGGAGCGAGAGAGUCAGAUGAUCUUCUUACCCUGUGGCCAUGUUUGCUGCUGUCAGACGUGUGGAGCAGAGCUGCAUGCUUGCCCUCUCUGCCGGAAAGACAUCGAACAAAAGAUCCGCAUGUAUCGUACAUCCUGAGUUACAGCCUGCCCAUGUCCAAUGUAUGUGUGCCUCAGAAUGCUCGCGGUUACCAGAAACCAUCCCUGGGGUUUAGAUCCGUCCUCCUGGAGGCUCCUAGGAGAAAGAAGCCCUCCUGGAUUGGACUCCAUUGCUAAGGAUCUGUGUGCAACCUCGUCCACUUCAUCACAGCCUGCUGGUGCCUUAUUUGACCUCCUCCUCCAGCCCCACUCCCCUACACAGAUAAACCAGAUUACGUUUACUCUCAAUAAAACUGUGGAGUAGCCUCCAGGCUGGACAACUUGAGCUGGUCCUCAUGGGCAGGUGAUUUGCUCCUGGUUUGGCCUGAAUUGUGUUGGCAGUAAUGUUAGUUGAUCUGUGUUAUGCUGCCAUAACGUAGUAUUGUGUUGGAACUGGAUUUAUCACUAAUCCCUUGAGUGGGCAACAAGCAGAAAACUGGAACUGAAAAAAUAAGACUUUUGUUUUCUUGCUGCUGUAUGUUUAUGCUUUUUGUUCCUGGAGAUAUAUUGGAAUACGACUAGGAGUUGGUGCAACCAAUCUAAAGAGAACCCAAGUGGAUGUACAGUCAGUUUGAACUGAGUCCUUGUGCACCUACAGCACUCCCAACACCCCUUCCAUACCAUCCAUAUCGUCCAGUUGUUCAGUACUCUGCAGAAAAGAAGUGAAGCAUCAUAGAAUGGCUACAGCACAGAAGGCCAUUCAGCCUGUCAUGUCCAUGCCGGCGCUCUGCAAGAGCAACUUACCUAGUCUCACUCUCCUCCCUUUCCCUGUAGCCCUGCAAAUCUUUUCUCUCCAA